rnacentral:sRNA from 1 species
UCCGCCACGGAUGGCGGUGGUUCUAGUCAGUAGCGUGUUUGCAGGGCAAACACGUAGGUACAAAAUGUACAGGGAUGUACAUUUUGUACCGUGC